CUGCAUGCUUUAGGAAUUUGCUGUGAUGUGUUGUUGCAUCUUGCAAUAAAAGAAUUAUAAAGAAUAAAUAAUUAGAUAAAAAUAAAGUUGGAGGGUACAAAUAUGGAAUAAAAUAUACAUAAACACCAGCCUCUAUUUACAGUACAACCUAAGCAUUUUAAAAAUUGGUUUAACAGUUUGAGGGUCAGUGCAGUGCUGGCUAAUAUAUAAGAAGGGUGGAGCUAACUGGAAUGGUUGGUCAGAUUAAUUGCCUGGGGGAAGGUGCUUUUAAAAUAGUGGGAAGGUUUUGAUUUUUAUUUAACCCUAUAGCACUUUCCAGAGGGAGCUUUUGGAAAGGGAAGGUUGCUGUGUGGGUGGGAAGUGCCUGCAAUGUGUCCCUUUGUCCUGGACACACACACUGGGCCGGGCUUGAUGGCAGACCACAGACAGUGAUCUAUUCUGCUGACGUGAUGCUUCUGUGUAGUUUCUGUAUGCUGUGAGAGGAUGCUGAACCAAACCCGAAGGAAAUGGCUGAUGUGAGGAUGCUCUCUGUGAUGGCAGUGUAGAAUUGCACCAGUACGUUCUGGGGAACUUGGAGUUUUACCUGCUGCUGUAAAAAGAACAUCGUCUGCCAAGCUUUUUUGUGAAGGAGAUGUGGUUCUUCCUCCAAGUGGGAACAAUGUUACCCGGGAACCCGAGCAUUGAAAUGGUAGAAUCUCAGAUAGUGACAAGAGGGCGUACAGGAGCGAGAUAUGCCAAUUGGUGGAGUGGUGUCACUGCAACGACCUGCACCCAACGUCAGUAAGACGAAAGAGCUGAUUAUGGACUUCAGGAAAGGUUUGAAGCCACACAAACUGAGGUCUGCCAGUCAGGGAGUUCAUUAUCCGGGAGACAAUGGAAGAGCCAACCUGCACUGAACGGAGCGUUUUCCCCAGCUGUGCGGUAUUGAAGGCACUCGAGAAAUCAAAAUAAAACUUGGU